AACUGAUACUACCUGCGGGAACCUGCGGAGGGAUCAUUAGUGAACGCCCUCACGGGCUUAUAACUAUUCCAAACCUCUGUGAACCGUGCCCUUCGGGGCUAUUUUACGAACAUGGUGUAAUGAACGUCAUAUAUCAUAACAAAACAAAACUUUUAACAACGGAUCUCU
rnacentral:misc_RNA from 1 species